rnacentral:rRNA from 1 species
UACGUAGGGUGCAAGCGUUAGGCGGAAUCACUGGGCUUAAAGCGUGUGUAGGCGGGUGCCUAAGUAACUUGUGAAAUCCCACGGCUCAACCGUGGAACUGCUCGGUAUACUGGGUGCCUUGAGCCAACUAGGGGCGACCGGAACAAACGGUGGAGCGGUGAAAUGCGUAGAUAUCGUUUGGAACGCCGAUGGUGAAAACAGGUCGCUGGGGUUGUGCUGACGCUGAGACACGAAAGCCAGGGGAGCGAACGGG